rnacentral:rRNA from 1 species
CCUUCAUGAAGCUGGAAUUGCUGUAAUGGCAGGUCAGCAUACUGCCGUGAAUACGUUCCCGGGCCUUGUACACACCGCCCGUCACACCAUGAGAGUUGGAAAUACCCGAAGCCUGUGAGCUAACUUAAAGAGGCAGCAGUCGAAGGUAGAGCCAAUGAUUGGGGUGAAGUCGUAACAAGGUAAC